UAUUAAAGUUGUUGCAGUUAAAAAGCUCGUAGUUGAAUUUCGGGGUUAGUAGGUUGGUCAUGCCUCUGGUGUGUACUGGUCUCACUGAUUCCUCCUUCCUGAUGAGCCGUAAUGCCAUUAAUUUGGUGUUGCGGGGAAUUUGGACUGUUACUUUGAAAAAAUUAGAGUGUUUAAAGCAGGCUCACGCUUGAAUACAUUAGCAUGGAAUAAUGAAAUAGGACGUUUGAUUCUAUUUUGUUGGUUUCUAGGAUCGACGUAAUGAUUAAUAGGGAUAGUUGGGGGCAUUAGUAUUCAAUUGUCAGAGGUGAAAUUCUUGGAUUUAUUGAAGACUAACUACUGCGAAAGCAUUUGCCAAGGAUGUUUUCAUU
rnacentral:rRNA from 1 species